GACGAACGCUGGCGGCGUGCCUAAUACAUGCAAGUAGAACGCUGAAGGCGUAGCUUGCUCUUCUGGAUGAGUUGCGAACGGGUGAGUAACGCGUAGGUAACCUGCCUGUUACCUUGGGAUAACUUUUGGAAACUAUAGCUAAUACCGCAUAACAGUAGCUGUUGCAUGACAUUUACUUAAAAGUUUCAAUUGCUUCACUACCAGAUGGACCUUCGUUGUAUUAGCUUGUUGGUGGGGUAAAGGCUCACCAAGGCGGCGAUCCAUAGCCGAAAGGAGAGGGGGAUCGGCCACACUGGGAGGGAGACAGGGCCCAGAGUCAUACAGGAGGCAGCAGUAGGGAAUCGGCGGCAAGGGACGGAAGAUAGACCGAGAAACGCCGAGUGAGUGAAGAAGGUUGUCGGAUGGUAAAGGACGGUUGUAAGAGAAGAAAGAGUGUGAGAGUGGAAAGUUCAGAGUGUGACGGUAUCGUACAAGAAAGGGACGGCUAACUACGUG
rnacentral:rRNA from 1 species